GGCUCCUUAGCUCAGUGGUAGAGCAGAGGAUUGAAAAUCCUCGUGUCCUAAGUUCAAUUCUUAGAGGAGCCACCA
rnacentral:tRNA from 1 species